UACAGAGGUCCCGAGCGUUGUUCGGAUUCAUUGGGCGUAAAGGGUGCGUAGGCGGCGAGCUAAGUUUGGUGUGAAAUCCUGGGGCUUAACCUCAGAAUUGCACUGAAUACUGGUUUGCUAGAGGACUGGAGAGGAGAUUGGAAUUCACGGUGUAGCAGUGAAAUGCGUAGAUAUCGUGAGGAAGACCAGUGGCGAAAGCGAAUCUCUGGACAGAUCCUGACGCUGAUGCACGAAGGCUAGGGGAGCAAACGGG
rnacentral:rRNA from 1 species